GGGGCCAUAGCUCAGUUGGUAGAGCGCAUACAUGGCAUGUAUGAGGUCAGGGGUUCGACUCCCCUUGGCUCCA
rnacentral:tRNA from 1 species